rnacentral:rRNA from 1 species
UACGUAGGGUGCAAGCGUUAAUCGGAAUUACUGGGCGUAAAGCGUGCGCAGGCGGUUAUGCAAGACAGAUGUGAAAUCCCCGGGCUUAACCUGGGAACCGCAUUUGUGACUGCAUAGCUGGAGUACGGCAGGGGGGGAUGGAAUUCCGCGUGUAGCAGUGAAAUGCGUAGAUAUGCGGAGGAACACCGAUGGCGAAGGCAGUCCCCUGGGCCUGUACUGACGCUCAUGCACGAAAGCGUGGGGAGCAAACAGG